GUGGUCACUGAUGGCAACAAUAUCUACUUUGCCAGAAAUGAAGGUAGCUCUGGAGAACAUGUACCUAAUAUGGCAACAACUAUUACUCUGACCUUCCCUCAUCCUGUCUCAGGAAUACAGCUGGCAUUGCACAAGAAGAUCUGAAUUACGUCAAGAAAAGCAGCAGACACAAGAACAUGGCAGAUUCAGGCAGAGAUGAAGAUGGAGCAGAGAAGCCGAGUCCAGAGACUGCACUUGGUACUUCUCUGGUUGCUUCAAGAAAAUACCUGGUGGAAGCAGGAGGGAUUGUUUUUACAAUCCAUCAUGGCGGCCAGAUGCCACAGAGAGAAGAUCCCAGAGUGUCUGGUCUUGUUACAUCCACAGUCAGGGAGAGAUGAAUGAUGCUAUUCUCCUCCUUUUUAUUCAGUCUGGGAUCUCGGGCCAUAGAAUGCCACCACACACAUUUAAGGCUUCCAAGCAAGCUCAUUAAAAUGUCAUCUAUCAACAAGAAAAUCUACAUGCUGAUCUAUCACCAGUUUAUAUUAUAGUACCCACCCUUUUUUUCUAGCAAGCAUCUUUCAUAAACAAUAUCUGU
ensembl:lincRNA 1700029N11Rik RIKEN cDNA 1700029N11 gene